AGGGGUGUAGCUCUAAUUGGCAGAGCGACGGUCUCCAAAACCGUAGGUUGUGAGUUCGAGUCUCACAGCCCCUG
rnacentral:tRNA from 1 species